CCUACGGGGGGCAGCAGUGAGGAAUAUUGGUCAAUGGACGAGAGUCUGAACCAGCCAAGUAGCGUGAAGGAUGACUGCCCUAUGGGUUGUAAACUUCUUUUAUAUGGGAAUAAAAUGUUCCACGUGUGGGAUUUUGUAUGUACCAUAUGAAUAAGGAUCGGCUAACUCCGUGCCAGCAGCCGCGGUAAUACGGAGGAUCCGAGCGUUAUCCGGAUUUAUUGGGUUUAAAGGGAACGUAGGUGGAUUGUUAAGGCAUUUGUGAAAGUUUGCGGCUCAACCGUAAAAUUGCAGUUGAAACUGGCAGUCUGGAGUACAGUAGAGGUGGGCGGAAUUCGUGGUGUAGCGGUGAAAUGCUUAGAUAUCACGAAGAACUCCGAUUGCGAAGGCAGCUCACUGGACUGCAACUGACACUGAGGCUCGAAAGUGUGGGUAUCAAACAGGAUUAGAUACCCGAGUAGUC
rnacentral:rRNA from 1 species